CAGCUCAUUCCAUUUCCUCUUCCAUGAUGCGCUUGUGCAGGCUCCUGGGCAGCAGCCAUGAAAGGGUAAUGACCCUUAGGGACUGCAGGCCUGAAAAAUGAAACUUCCCAGCUAUGAAGACAGGAAGAGUUUCAGCAUGCUGGAUGGAAAUAAGACAAGCUCCCCCCAAGCAGGUUUCAGAAUGAAAAGGAGUUCAUAGGCUUGUCACCGGAAAGCCCUGGGCAGGCUAGGGCAUCAAGCUCAGCUUCCCCCCAGGGUCCGGGAGGCAUCAGCGCUUUGGAUCCGUUUUCUUCUUCUCCUGGUUCGUCAACUCUUCAUCAGACCCCAACCCCCGUGUGCCUGUGCCACUAUGGAAGCUGUGACUCUCCCUCCCUCCUCCCCUGGCCCAGGCUCAGGGAUCCGUCACUCUAUGCUCUACUUCUAUGAUGUCAGCCCUUCUGUGAUCCCCACACAGGGGAGAUGGCCCA